rnacentral:rRNA from 1 species
GGGAUCUUAAGGCCGAGAGCUGAUGACGAGUGUCCUUUAGGACACGAAGUGGUUGAUGCCAUGCUUCCAAGAAAAGCUUCUAAGCUUCAGGUAACCAGGAACCGUACCCCAAACCGACACAGGUGGUUGGGUAGAGAAUACCAAGGCGCUUGAGAGAACUCGGGUGAAGGAACUAGGCAAAAUGGCACCGUAACUUCGGGAGAAGGUGCGCCGGUGAGGGUGAAGCAUUUACUGCGUAAGCCCACGCCGGUCGAAGAUACCAGGCCGCUGCGACUGUUUAUUAAAAACACAGCACCCUGCAAACACGAAAGUGGACGUAUAGGGUGUGACGCCUGCCCGGUGCCGGAAGGUUAAUUGAUGGGGUUAGCUAACGCGAAGCUCUUGAUCGAAGCCCCGGUAAACGGCGGCCGUAACUAUAACGGUCCUAAGGUAGCGAAAUUCCUUGUCGGGUAAGUUCCGACCUGCACGAAUGGCGUAACGAUGGCGGCGCUGUCUCCACCCGAGACUCAGUGAAAUUGAAAUCGCUGUGAAGAUGCAGUGUAUCCGCGGCUAGACGGAAAGACCCCGUGAACCUUUACUAUAGCUUUGCACUGGACUUUGAAUUUGCUUGUGUAGGAUAGGUGGGAGGCUUUGAAGCGUGGACGCCAGUCUGCGUGGAGCCAACCUUGAAAUACCACCCUGGCAACUUUGAGGUUCUAACUCAGGUCCGUUAUCCGGAUCGAGGACAGUGUAUGGUGGGUAGUUUGACUGGGGCGGUCUCCUCCUAAAGAGUAACGGAGGAGUACGAAGGUGCGCUCAGACCGGUCGGAAAUCGGUCGUAGAGUAUAAAGGCAAAAGCGCGCUUGACUGCGAGACAGACACGUCGAGCAGGUACGAAAGUAGGUCUUAGUGAUCCGGUGGUUCUGUAUGGAAGGGCCAUCGCUCAACGGAUAAAAGGUACUCCGGGGAUAACAGGCUGAUACCGCCCAAGAGUUCAUAUCGACGGCGGUGUUUGGCACCUCGAUGUCGGCUCAUCACAUCCUGGGGCUGAAGCCGGUCCCAAGGGUAUGGCUGUUCGCCAUUUAAAGUGGUACGCGAGCUGGGUUUAGAACGUCGUGAGACAGUUCGGUCCCUAUCUGCCGUGGACGUUUGAGAUUUGAGAGGGGCUGCUCCUAGUACGAGAGGACCGGAGUGGACGAACCUCUGGUGUUCCGGUUGGCACGCCAGUGGCAUUGCCGGGUAGCUAUGUUCGGAAUAGAUAACCGCUGAAAGCAUCUAAGCGGGAAACUAGCCUCAAGAUGAGAUCUCACUGGAACCUUGAGUUCCCUGAAGGGCCGUCGAAGACUACGACGUUGAUAGGUGGGGUGUGUAAGCGCUGUGAGGCGUUGAGCUAACCCAUACUAAUUGCCCGUGAGGCUUGAUC